UACAGGAGGUCUCAAGCGUUUGUUCGGGAUUCAUUGGGCGUAAAGGGUGUGUAGGUGGCGCGCUAAGUCGGGUGUGAAAUUUCGGAGCUUAACUCCGAAACUGCAUUUGAUACUGGCGUGCUUGAGGACUGGAGAGGAGACUGGAAUUCAUGGUGUAGCAGUGAAAUGCGUAGAGAUCAUGAGGAAGACCAGUGGCGAAGGCGGGUCUCUGGACAGUUCCUGACACUGAGGCACGAAGGCCAGGGGAGCAAACGGG
rnacentral:rRNA from 1 species